GGUGAACGCUGGCGGCGUGCUUAAGACAUGCAAGUCGAACGCAGUCUUCGGACUGAGUGGCGCACGGGUGAGUAACACGUAACUGACCUACCCCCAAGUCGCGGAUAACUGGCCGAAAGGUCAGCUAAUACGUGAUGUGAUGUCCCCUUUCUGGGGGGCAAUUAAAGGUUUACUGCUUGGGGAUGGGGUUGCGUUCCACCAGCUAGUUGGCGGGGUAAGGGCCCACCAAGGCAACGACGGAUAGCCGGCCUGAGAGGGUGGCCGGCCACAGGGGCACUGAGACACGGGUCCCACUCCUACGGGAGGCAGCAGUUAGGAAUCUUCCACAAUGGGCGAAAGCCUGAUGGAGCGACGCCGCGUGAGGGAUGAAGGUUCUCGGAUCGUAAACCUCUGAAUCAGGGACGAAAGACGCGUAAGCGGGAUGACGGUACCUGAGUAAUAGCACCGGCUAACUCCGUGCCAGCCGCCGCCGUAA
rnacentral:rRNA from 1 species